CGAAUGCUGACAUAAGUAACGAUAAAGCGGGUGAAAAGCCCGCUCGCCGGAAGACCAAGGGUUCCUGUCCAACGUUAAUCGGGGCAGGGUGAGUCGACCCCUAAGGCGAGGCCGAAAGGCGUAGUCGAUGGGAAACAGGUUAAUAUUCCUGUACUUGGUGUUACUGCGAAGGGGGGACGGAGAAGGCUAUGUUGGCCGGGCGACGGUUGUCCCGGUUUAAGCGUGUAGGCUGGUUUUCCAGGCAAAUCCGGAAAAUCAAGGCUGAGGCGUGAUGACGAGGCACUACGGUGCUGAAGCAACAAAUGCCCUGCUUCCAGGAAAAGCCUCUAAGCAUCAGGUAACAUCAAAUCGUACCCCAAACCGACACAGGUGGUCAGGUAGAGAAUACCAAGGCGCUUGAGAGAACUCGGGUGAAGGAACUAGGCAAAAUGGUGCCGUAACUUCGGGAGAAGGCACGCUGAUAUG
rnacentral:rRNA from 1 species